CCUUCUGGCUGUCCAGUCUUUGGUCCGUGAAAAGAAAACUUGGACCAAGGACUACAAGCUGUUUUCACUGAAAACAAGUUGGUCAAGCUAUUUAACCAGUCUGUCCAAACAUGAGUCACCGGCAGUUAAGGCCACUUUAAAGUGUGACUUUAAGGAAGCUGUUUGACAUCUCGAAGCUUCAUUUUUCUCGUCUAUGAGAUGGGGAUAAAACGCACACGUUAAAGAAAAAAGAGCACUUAGAUCUGCUGUUUGCCAUGAAUCCUCUCAUCUUCUUCCAUUUUAUACUCGAGAAAACGGAGGUUCAGUCGGGGGUUAUCACUGGUCUGAAGCCACAAGCUGGAGUCAGAACUGGAGAAGCCAGCUUCUGUGUGCCCAGAACACACCUGUUCUCUGUUGCAGUAUCUACUGAUCUAACCCUUAAUAAGCACCUUGCCUUCUCUGCUGCUUCCAGGAAUGGAUUCAAAAGGUCUCCAGGAUGGUGGUUGAUGGAAUGCUUCUUCACCCUAUCUCCUGCUGAGCAUGAGCUCACCGACUCCAGACUCCCCCUCCCCAUGCCGUCCCAUGCCAACAGGAAGUAGCCAGAUUUGAACCAGCACCCAUAUACCCAAAAAGGUUGGGAUGUUCAGUUGGAACCUCCAGCUUGCUCCUGCAUGGUCUGAGAAGCCCCAUUCCUAUCUCUCCAAGCCCACCCACUCGGAGAAUCUCCAAACAUGGGAAGGCACCAAAAAGUCCAGUUCCACAUUCCUGGCAGCUGUUAUAGCUUCCUCCUCUGAAGUGGCCAGCUGCCCAAGUCCUCACCUAAAGUGCCCAGCUUUUGACCACACUUGGGCAUAAACCCAGCCUGUGGCAGACACGUCAUCACUCCUCACCUACCACCUAUAAUGUCUCCCUGCUUUUGUUUGUGGGCAUGGCUUCUCUGGCCUCGCUCUCUGGGAUUUGAGAAUCUACCCAGGAGUUGAUUUGCUCAAAUAAACCUGUUAUACUUUUCCA